GGCAGACAGAGAGAGAAAUGGAGAGGUGGGAAGAGAGUGGAAGGCAGACAGAGAGAGAGAGGUGGGAAGAGAAGUGGAAGGCAGAUAGAGCGAGAGAAACAGAGAGGUGGGAAGAGAGUGGAAGGCAGACAGAGCGAGAGAAACAGAGAGGUGGGAAGAGAGUGGAAGGCAGACAGAGAGAGAGAGAAACAGAGGUGGGAAGAGAGUGGAAGGCAGACAGAGAGAGAGAGGUGGGAAGAGAGUGGAAGGCAGACACAGAGAGGAGAGAGAAACAGAGAGGUGGGAAGAGAGUGGAAGGCAGACAGAGAGAGAGAGGUGGGAAGAGAGUGGAAGGCAGACAGAGAGAGAGAGAAAGACAGCAGUACAAUUGUACUUAGACUUGAGUAUUUCAACAACUGUUCACUUCCAACUUGAUAGUCAAUCAUAUCUACCUCACGGAGGAAGGAUGGCCAGCCACACAGCAGGGUGAUGUUUACUAAGGAGGAGAAGGAAGCUGUGCUGACCGAGAUGCAUGCUGGCCAUUUCGGAGUGAAGCACAUGAUUGCCAAAAUCAACCUCCGAUUCCUCUGACGAGGAAUUGUCAAGGAGGUGGACAUCUGGGCAAUUGAAAUAAUAUUUUGUUUAUCAAUCACAUUUAUUAUAUCUGAAAUUAUUAUGAUUUCAAUGAAUGUCAUAUCAGAGAGCACAAAAUGUUUCAAUCAGUACCCUGUCAAGCCUGCCAGAAGUUUCAUAGUGCGAAGACUGUGGCGCCAGAGUUGAAGCACAUCAGUUGUUUCACCAAUGCACAUGAUCGGGGUGGACCUCAUCGGACCCUUCACGAAAUCCAGGAAUGGCAGCAGCUGGUGUCUGACGGCGACCAAUCACCUUACCAAGAGGGUGGAGGCAAUACCCAUUAAGGACGAGACUGGCGAGGCCAUGGUUCUCCUGAGGUCAUCUUGAGUGACCGAGGUCAUGGACGCUGGAACAAGGGCAAUAUUUGAGAUACACAGAUGAACUAAAAACACUAGCACUGCAAACACAGCAGUGCCUCUUCCUCUUCAAGUCCCCCUUUCCGAGACUGGCUGCCUGUUGAGAACAAGUGACAGGCAGAACCUCUCACCCAGACAGUAACCACCUCCUUUAUAUUCCACACCCCCAGAAUUCAGUAUUUCAGUCUAUGAUUGCCAUGUGAGUGUACAAAAACAUCUGUGAAAAUAAAUUGACACAACUGUCCCAAAAAAUAUCAGUUUAUGUAUUAAAAUCUUAAAUA